rnacentral:rRNA from 1 species
UACGUAGGGCGCAAGCGUUGUCCGGAAUUAUUGGGCGUAAAGAGCUCGUAGGCGGUCUGUCGCGUCCGUUCGUAGAAACUCAGGCUCAACCUCGGGCUUGCAGUGGAUACGGGCAGACUAGAGUGCGGUAGGGGAGACUGGAAUUCCUGGUGUAGCGGUGGAAUGCGCAGAUAUCGGAAGGAACACCGGUGGCGAAGGCGGGUCACUGGGCCGAUAC